rnacentral:rRNA from 1 species
GAUGAACGCUGGCGGCGUGCCUAAUACAUGCAAGUCGAGCGAACGGACGAUAAGCUUGCUUCUCUGACGUUAGCGGCGGACGGGUGAGUAACACGUGGAUAACCUACCUAUAAGACUGGGAUAUCUUCGGGAAACCGGAGCUAAUCCCGGAUAAUAUUUUGAACCGCAUGGUUCAAAAGUGAAAGUCGGUCUUGCUGUCACUUAUAGCUGGAUCCGCGCUGCAUUAGCUAGUUGGUACGGUAACGGCUUACCACGGCAACGAUGCAUAGCCGAACUGAGAGGGUGAUCGGCCACACUGGAACUGAGACACGGUCCAGACGCCUACGGGAGGCAGCAGUAGGGUAUCUUACGCAAUGGGCGAAAGCCUGACGGAGCAGCGCCGCGUGAGUGAUGGCGGUCUUCGGAGCGGAAAACUCUGUUAUUAGGGAAGAACAUAUGUGUAAGGAACUGUGCACAUCUUGACGGUACCUAAUCAGAAAGCCACGGCUAACUACGUG